CAGAACCAGAAGAAGUGACACUUGGUCCUCAGUUGUUGCUAAUGAUGAUUAAGAAGAAUCAUUUCUAGGUAUCAGUUUCAAGAGAGAAGAGCACUAAUGGCUAGACAAUUGAAGUUGUGAGUCACCCAUAGUCACAUAGCUAAGAAGUUCCUGAGGUUCCAUUUGAACUCAGAACCUCCAAUCUCUGGCUCUCUAUUCACUGAGGGCUUGCUUAGCCCUUUUCAAGGAUACUUACCCACCACUGGUGUCUACUUGCCACCCUAAUCCUGCCUG
rnacentral:lncRNA from 1 species